CUCCUUCCUUGCUAGCUUGUACUCCUCCCUAAAAACCCGCUUCUCUUCAUCAUCCUUACUCUCAACCAACUUUGCAUACGCCCCUUUUUUAGUCUCCACUUUCUUCUUUACUUCAUCAUUCCACCACCAAUCCCCCCUAUGGUGCCCGGCCCGGUCCCUAGACACACCCAAAACCUUACUAGCAGUCUCCUUGAUGCACCUAUCCGCCCCAUACCACUUACCAUCUAUGUCUUCCCUACGCUCCCACACCGCCAUACCAG
rnacentral:lncRNA from 1 species